AUUCCGGUUGAUCCUGCCGGAGGCCAUUGCUCUUGGGGUCCGAUUUAGCCAUGCUAGUCGCACGGGUUCAGACCCGUGGCAAAUAGCUCAGUAGCACGUGGCCAAUCUACCCUCCGGAUCAGCACACCCUCGGGAAACUGAGGCCAAUUCUGUAUACGGCUCCCGACCUGGAAUGGUGGGAGCCCGAAACGCUCCGGCGCCGGAGGAUGAGGCUGCGGCCGAUUAGGUUGACGGUGGGGUAAUGGCCCACCGUGCCGAUAAUCGGUCUGGGUCAUGAGAGUGAGAACCCAGAGACGGACUCUGAGACAAGAUUCCGGGCCCUACGGGGCGCAGCAGGCGCGAAACCUUUCACUGCACGCCAGUGCGAUAAG
rnacentral:rRNA from 1 species